rnacentral:misc_RNA from 1 species
AGCAGCCGCGGUAAUUCCAGCUCCAAUAGCGUAUAUUAAAGUUGUUGCAGUUAAAAAGCUCGUAGUUGAAUUUCGGGAUCAAUAUAUCGGUCGUGCCUUGGUACGUACUGGUAUCAUUGGUUUCUCCUUUCUGACGAACCAUGAUGUCAUUAAUUUGGUGUUAUGGGAAGUUAGGACUGUUACUUUGAAAAAUUAGAGUGUUUAAAGCAGGCUUUGGCUUGAAUACAUUAGCAUGGAAUAAUGAAAUAGGACGUUCGAACCUAUUUUGUGGUUUCUAGGAUCAACGUAAUGAUUAAUAGGGAUAGUUGGGGGCAUUAGUAUUCAAUUGUCAGAGGUGAAAUUCUUGGAUUUAUUGAAGACUAACUACUGCGAAAGCAUUUGCCAAGGAUGUUUUCAUUAAUCAAGAACGAAAGUUAGGGGAUCGAAGACGAUCAGAUACCGUCGUAGUCUUAACCAUAAA